GAGUGAACGCUGGCGGCGUGCCUAAUACAUGCAAGUCGAACGCGAGCACUUGUGCUCGAGUGGCGAACGGGUGAGUAAUACAUAAGUAACCUGCCCUAGACAGGGGGAUAACUAUUGGAAACGAUAGCUAAGACCGCAUAGGUACGGACACUGCAUGGUGACCGUAUUAAAAGUGCCUCAAAGCACUGGUAGAGGAUGGACUUAUGGCGCAUUAGCUGGUUGGCGGGGUAACGGCCCACCAAGGCGACGAUGCGUAGCCGACCUGAGAGACUGAUCGGCCACAAUGGAACUGAGACACGGUCCAU
rnacentral:rRNA from 1 species